rnacentral:rRNA from 1 species
CAGUAGCCGCGGUAAUACGAAGGGUGCAAGCGUUAAUCGGAAUUACUGGGCGUAAAGCGUGCGUAGGCGGUUUGUUAAGUCUGUUGUGAAAUCCCCGGGCUCAACCUGGGAAUGGCAAUGGAUACUGGCAAGCUAGAGUGUGUCAGAGGAUGGUGGAAUUCCCGGUGUAGCGGCGAAAUGCGUAGAGAUCGGGAGGAACAUCAGUGGCGAAGGCGGCCAUCUGGGACAACACUGACGCUGAGGCACGAAAGCGUGGGGAGCAAACAGGAUUAGAGACCCCUGUAGUCCCUGUCUCUUAUAU